rnacentral:rRNA from 1 species
UACAUAGGUAGCAAGCGUUAUCCGGAAUAACUGGGCGUAAAGGGAGCGUAGGUGGCGAGGUAAGUCUUAUGUGAAAUCCCUUGGCUUACCAAGGAACUGCAUAAGAUACUGCUUUGCUAGAGUGCGAGAGAGGUAAGCGGAAUUCCUAGUGUAGCGGUAGAAUGCGUAGAGAUUAGGAAGGACACCAGAGGCGAAGGCGGCUUACUGGCUCGUAACUGACACUGAGGCUCGAAAGCGUGGGGAGCAAACA